AUUGAACGCUGGCGGCAGGCCUAACACAUGCAAGUCGAGCGGAUGACGGGAGCUUGCUCCUUGAUUCAGCGGCGGACGGGUGAGUAAUGCCUAGGAAUCUGCCUGGUAGUGGGGGACAACGUUUCGAAAGGAACGCUAAUACCGCAUACGUCCUACGGGAGAAAGCAGGGGACCUUCGGGCCUCGCGCUAUCAGAUGAGCCUAGGUCGGAUUAGCGAGUUGGUGGGGUAAUGGCUCACCAAGGCGACGAUCCGUAACUGGUCUGAGAGGAUGAUCAGUCACACUGGAACUGAGACACGGUCCAGACUCCUACGGGAGGCAGCAGUGGGGAAUAUUGGACAACGGGCGAAAGCCUGAUCCAGCCAUGCCGCGUGUGUGAAGAAGGUCUUCGGAUUGUAAAGCACUUUAAGUUGGGAGGAAGGGCAGUAAGUUAAUACCUUGCUGUUUUGACGUUACCGGCAGAAUAAGCACCGGCUAACUCUGUGCCAGCAGCCGCAGUAA
rnacentral:rRNA from 1 species